UACGAAGGGGGCUAGCGUUGCUCGGAAUCACUGGGCGUAAAGCGCACGUAGGCGGAUUUUUAAGUCAGGGGUGAAAUCCUGGAGCUCAACUCCAGAACUGCCUUUGAUACUGGGAAUCUCGAGUCCGGAAGAGGUGAGUGGAACUGCGAGUGUAGAGGUGAAAUUCGUAGAUAUUCGCAAGAACACCAGUGGCGAAGGCGGCUCACUGGUCCGGUACUGACGCUGAGGUGCGAAAGCGUGGGGAGCAAACAGG
rnacentral:rRNA from 1 species